rnacentral:rRNA from 1 species
AGAGUUUGAUCCUGGCUCAGGAUGAACGCUAGCUACAGGCUUAACACAUGCAAGUCGAGGGGCAGCAUGGUCUUAGCUUGCUAAGGCUGAUGGCGACCGGCGCACGGGUGAGUAACACGUAUCCAACCUGCCGUCUACUCUUGGCCAGCCUUCUGAAAGGAAGAUUAAUCCAGGAUGGGAUCAUGAGUUCACAUGUCCGCAUGAUUAAAGGUAUUUUCCGGUAGACGAUGGGGAUGCGUUCCAUUAGAUAGUAGGCGGGGUAACGGCCCACCUAGUCAACGAUGGAUAGGGGUUCUGAGAGGAAGGUCCCCCACAUUGGAACUGAGACACGGUCCAAACUCCUACGGGAGGCAGCAGUGAGGAAUAUUGGUCAAUGGGCGAUGGCCUGAACCAGCCAAGUAGCGUGAAGGAUGACUGCCCUAUGGGUUGUAAACUUCUUUUAUAAAGGAAUAAAGUCGGGUAUGCAUACCCGUUUGCAUGUACUUUAUGAAUAAGGAUCGGCUAACUCCGUGCCAGCAGCCGCGGUAAUACGGAGGAUCCGAGCGUUAUCCGGAUUUAUUGGGUUUAAAGGGAGCGUAGAUGGAUGUUUAAGUCAGUUGUGAAAGUUUGCGGCUCAACCGUAAAAUUGCAGUUGAUACUGGAUAUCUUGAGUGCAGUUGAGGCAGGCGGAAUUCGUGGUGUAGCGGUGAAAUGCUUAGAUAUCACGAAGAACUCCGAUUGCGAAGGCAGCCUGCUAAGCUGCAACUGACAUUGAGGCUCGAAAGUGUGGGUAUCAAACAGGAUUAGAUACCCUGGUAGUCCACACGGUAAACGAUGAAUACUCGCUGUUUGCGAUAUACUGCAAGCGGCCAAGCGAAAGCGUUAAGUAUUCCACCUGGGGAGUACGCCGGCAACGGUGAAACUCAAAGGAAUUGACGGGGGCCCGCACAAGCGGAGGAACAUGUGGUUUAAUUCGAUGAUACGCGAGGA